GGAGGACCGGAGCUGCAAGCUCUGAACCGACCCAGAAGAGCUUGUCUCCAGGACCCCUACUCCCCCAAACAGCCUUGGAGGUGCUCCCAACGGUUUCCAGCUUCCGCCUCACAGGGACUAUCUGGGAGAGAACAAGGACCAAAUCACCAAGCCUCUGGAUGUGGGCCAUGUGGCAGCCCAUCUGUGAGCCCCAGGGAGAUGCAAAGUUGGCCAGUGCUGGGGGCCAAUCCUUAUUUAUACCAUUUCCAGAUGGCGUCUUUUGAUUGAUACUUGGCAAGGACAAGAGUUCCGAGGGGAAAGGGGCCUUAGUUUAGCCCCCAGGAGGAGCAUCCUUUGGAAGGACCACCCAGG